UAGACAAGGUAUCCACACCACUGCCUGCCCGUUCUCCUGCCCCAGCCUGACACCACUGGAGCCAGAAAGACUCAUGAGGGUCCUGGUUGCCUUCUACCACUCAGCUCAACUUUGGUUAGAAAGUUGGGCUUUUUUUCCCAGCUAAAUGGCCUUCUCAAGGAGUCCCCUGUGUCCUUCUUCCCCAGCAGCAGCCAGCCCAUCAAAUUGUGGGCUGCGUCCUUCCACCCCUGUUUGGUCGCAGGAGGAAGCCAGCUGCCUCGAUACCUUUUUCUCACCAAGCAGGACCCUUCAUGGCCAACCGCAGGCUAUCCUGCAGGAAGUAUGUCCAAGAGAGCCAGGUAUCACUGACACCUUCAUGAUAAACCCCUUAAACACAGAAUCAAAGACUCACCUUUAGACAUUUCCAUUGAAGUUGUUUUCAAGGAAAAAUAUGAAGAGGCAAACUCUGCUCUCCCUGACAGGCGUAUAAAUCUGGUGCAACUCUACUGAAGUCAAGAGCUAAAACCAAAUAAGGCCUGGAAAUUUUAUCUUCUGGCUCAGAAAACAAGAGUCAACAAAGGGCCUGAUUCAUCAUCGAGGAAAGCCAAGUCAACACCAGAGAUGUCCAAGCCUAGCAACGUGCAGACCUUCCAAGUGUCUAGUCUUGGAAAGCUCAACCAUCAAAGAAAGGCACGUUUCCAAAUGUCCCACUGUGAAUGACAGCCUCACCCCAAAACCUGUUCACUCAACCCAGGCAACGAAGUGGAUGGAACGAU